ACACGACUACAUUAGAUACCCGGGUAGUCCAGGGUGUAAACGCUGCGGGCUUGGUGUUGGGGGGUCCUUUGAGGGCGCCCAGUGCCGGAGAGAAGUUGUUAAGCCUGCUGCUUGGGAGUACGUCCGCAAGGAUGAAACUUAAAGGAAUUGGCGGGGAGCACCGCAACGGGAGGAGCGUGCGGUUCAAUUGGAUUCAACGCCGGACAACUCACCAGGAGCGACGGUUACAUGAAGGCCAGGCUGAUGACCUUGCCUGAUUUUCCG
rnacentral:rRNA from 1 species